UACGGAGGGGACUAGCGUUGUUCGGAAUCACUGGGCGUAAAGCGCACGUAGGCGGAUGUGUCAGUCAGGGGUGAAAUCCCGGGGCUCAACCUCGGAACUGCCUUUGAUACAGCACGUCUCGAGUCCGGAAGAGGUGGGUGGAAUUCCUAGUGUAGAGGUGAAAUUCGUAGAUAUUAGGAAGAACACCGGUGGCGAAGGCGGCCCACUGGUCCGGUACUGACGCUGAGGUGCGAAAGCGUGGGGAGCAAACAGG
rnacentral:rRNA from 1 species